CCGGACCUCCCGAUAAAGUAGCCAUCACCCUUUACCAGGACUUUGGACCUGCUGCUCGAAGACAGAUUAUAUAUGAGUGAAAAUAAAGAUUUACAGAAAGUCAGGAACACGACCCACUGAAAUACACAGAAGACACUUGCUGUGAAAACGAUAAUGGAUGCCUAAUCUGAAGGAAAGCUUAAUUUAGUGAUAUUUCAAGGAUGUUAUCUACUUAGAGACUGGUGUGGAGGACGGCACCUACCCUUACACAUGAACAUUGAUUGAAGCUGUCUGGUACAUUAUCAGUAGAGUACAGCGCACUGUACGCCCGAUCAGAGAAGUUUGUCGAAAAAGUAGCAGUGAAUAAUAGGAAGGACAUAUUGUGUCACGGUGUUUGAUAAAAGGUGUUGUUCCUCUGGAAACUUUUUUUGAUCGUCUUCUCUGGGAUAGCUGGAAAUAACCUCUCUGAAAUACAAGAAUGGAACAAGUUCUCAUUCUCAGCUGAUCAGGGACUUGUGUGAAGGAGGAGUGUUAGUGCGGAGAAGAAUUUGUCUCGGCCCAUCAUGACCUGUUGGUGGAGGCUGGACACUUCAAUAAACAUUGCUGUGGUUUUCCUGGGGUGUACCAAUCAUUUGUAGUCAUUAUUUCCCACAUGAAGAGUCAGAGGAGUAUUCAUUUUUCUAGUAAUAAGUUGAGACUCUACAGAGCAUGAAGGCAGAUAUUACAGUUACCUGCCUUAGACAAUAUGAAUUGUAAUAUAGCACUUGCUAGUUAUGUAAUUUCAGAUGAUGCUGUUUGAAUGCUUUUAGUCUCGUCACUAGUCACAUUAAGACAUUAGCUAUAACUGCAUAUAUUGCCUUUACAUUAAUUAUCUGCAUAGAACUAAACAUUUAAUAGUAGAUUUCAUGUAGUACUACAUGACUCUCUAGGAAUGCAUUUUAGGUCACCUGAGUCACUCGAGUGACCUAUUGGUAUUGUUCUGCGUCCGUUGUCGUGCAUCGUCCACCUACAAUUGAACAUUUUUAUACACCCGUCUUAGGACGGAUCGUAUUAUGAACAGCAAUGUGUACGUUUGUCAGUCCAUUUGGGGGUUCCUGUUUCUAUUUUUAUUUUUCUAUCAAGUAUUAAACCGUUAUUGUGUAGUUUCUUUAUGGGUCACUCUUGAUCAUGUUUCAGCUUUAACUGAUUUCAGUUUUCAAGUAAGGAUUAAGUUAUUUUACAGUUUUUGUUUUGGAACGAAAGAUGUACGUGUAGGGGAAUGGGUAGUUUAUUCUAGGAGGGACCAAACUUGGCAUGUAGUGUAUAUGUGUAAAACAUUGAAUAUCAUCUUCUUUAAUGUUAUCGAUGGACACCACAAUUAUAAAUUUCAAGAUUCUGGGGUAAGGAUUUGGGUAUCAGAGUGGGACCUGAAUAAUCUUUGUGAUUUAUUGUCUUUCACAUAUCAAAGUACCCUUACUACCGACAAAUGCAUAUAGGAAAAACAAAAAAUGUACAGUAUACCAAAAAUUGUAAAUCUCACAACCAUAGGUUACACAUCAGGUGUGAGUCAAUAAUUCAAUGCUCCUCUGUAAGGUUCAAGAUCUAGGGCAGGGUUAAUGUAGGAACAUUGUUGUAGAUUUCUUAGUCUUAGUCAUACCUUUAACUAAUAGGCCUUUCCUAAAACGUGAGUUAUCUCUCUUUGUAUUCUUACAUUUAUUGUGAAUAUUUCCGGGUACAUGUAGUUACACAAUCAGACUGCUCAUAUAUUUUAAGAGUUAUAUUAAUAUAGCAUUAUUAGUAUAAAUGCUGUUUAAAAUCAAAAACAGUUGAAAUCAUUUGUACGAGAGAGUAAGAAAAUGUUAAUGGAAACAACAAAGAAUUUCUUGAUCGAGUUGGGUGUGAUUUUUCGGGGUCUGGGGAAUUUUGAAAAUUGAAUAGGAAAUCACGACGGCAUUCAUUUGUUUACAUAUGUCUCCAAUAACGACUGACAUAAUCAUAUUGCUCAAAAGAUGAUGGCAACUCAUCAACUCAAAUUUGGGGUUUUUACUAGGAUCGACACGUCACGUGCAUUGAUCUUGCAUAUCAUGGUACCUCCUCCCCCCUUCUAAAAUGAAUUUUUGAAAAUAUAAAUUAGGAAAUCAGUGUUCUCACUGUUUUACCAGGGCUAAAAUUAUCCCACCACUACCAAUCAACUCUUUCAAAAAUAAACCAGAUUGCAAUUUUGGGUAACUUUCUCCAAAUUAUUCUGUGUGGAAAUCAUUUGCACAUGUGCAACAUGAAGAUUGGAUGGUUAAUAUCAACUGAUAUGUUUAAAAUGCACUAAAAUAGGUAAUUAAAUAAAUUAAAAAAAGCAUUACUUUUGUUCAAUAUUGCUCGAUUGAUAUAAAUUAUUUUCAUAGACCUGUGUGAUCCCGUGGGGGGGGGGGGGGGGGGGGGGGGGGGGUAUAGUCCAAAUGUACUCUCUGGGGGAUAGGUAAGUUUAACCCCCAAUAGAAUGUCUUUGACGUCUCUAUCUAAUUCCCUCUUUUAGUCGUUUUAGCCCCCUUCAAAUGUACUUGAUUAUGUAUAGGUACAUAUAGUGUCAUAACAGAAAUUGCAAUGGCAGAUAUAGAUCCCCCUUUUCGCCACAAAUUUACAAAAUAAUUCGAGUACAACUCCAAAAUUGAUAUUUUACCCAAAUGGCUGUAUUUACAGGUACAUACUUUUCCCAACUUAUUUAAUGUAUUGCUAUAAAUUCAGGGGGGUUCGACUAUAGUUAUUUUAUUUUCAAAACAUUGCAUGUGUAAAUGUCACUUUAAAGAUGGUUUGUGACAAUGAAUUUCUUUAUGGUUCUACUUGUAUUUGAAACUGUAUAAAGUUUGUGGACAGACAGCUGGAAAUCUGUCAGUGGCCUCUCAUUUACAACUUAGUACAGGCUUGGUUAAAUUUUACUUGCCAAUCGAAGGAGGUGGACAUUUUCAGAAUGCAGUGGUGUCAGUCCGACAUACCUAGAUGUACAUCGUGGCAUAACUUUCAUCGCUGAAUGUACUACAUUAAUAUUGAACAAGUAACAUCUGAUAUUUUAUUAUAAAUCUGACUGCAUUAAAACAUGGGGUAAAAAUCCUCAGGAAAUGUAUGCUAUAUAUUGUGAUAUAUACUAAUUUCAGUCAUAAAACACGUGAAAUCCUGGAGGGGGGUAGUUAGAAUAAUCUAAUUGCGUCUCGGGACAGGCCCGUCGUAGGAAAUUGCAUCACUUUAACGAUAGAACAUUCUAAUGGGAAAGGGAUGUCCUCUAUUUACAACAUUUAUUUCUUUUAUUCUUUUUUGCAAAGUUGGUUAUUUUUACGUGUAUGAAGGAAACAUAUGCAUUGUGAUUUUUUAUUAACGUUAAUAUAUUUGUUAGCUUGGUUGCUGUAAAAUUAUUCAGUAAUAUCUUUGCGGCCUUCUGCACCGUUGAUAAUGACGCUUCUCGAAUAUACUACCAGGAAGUCUUGAACUACUGUUAUGCAAGCGCACUACCUUCCGGAUCAAGGGAAGAUAACUCAUGUUUUCAUAUUGGCCUAUACUCAGGUGACCGAUGAGGCCUGUGAGUCUCCGGUUUACAUGUUGUCAUGAAACAGACAACAAGCUGGCUUACCAAACUUGUCUUGAAAAAUACACUGAACAAAAUUUUACUUUCCUGUCUGAUUUCUGGUCAUUCCAGCACUCAUUGCCACCUUGGUUUUUCAGCUUUCUGGGCUUCAAACGAUGGUGAGACAAUGUCUGCAGGAUCAUUUCCUGUCUCUUAAAAGCAGAAGUGGCCAGGAUACCUUACCAACCGAUCCAUUUUUAGGGAUGGUGUUUUGUAUCGAGCUGGGUAGCAGUUACUGGAGAUGUCCAGCUGAUUGAUGAGGAUAAUUUCCCCGAUCCGCUGACAUAAUUAGAUAUGAAAAUAUCAACUGCUAUAGAACAUGUCAGAUUCUUCCCCAAUGUAAACCGCCUUGGAGAAUAGAGCGUUUACUUCGCAUGCGGAAGAUCGGGGCUCGAAUCCCGGCCGCGACAGACCAUAGUCGUUAAAAUAGCCAGUGCCAGUCCUAUCACCAAACUCUCGGCUUCAGGUGUGGAUGUCACGGGUCCUCGGAGAUGACCUUAAAAACGAAUGUCCCGUUUCACAGACGGUGGAGAUUUAAAUACCUGUUGUGAUGUUCUUGAUUGUAAACAGAAGACGGUGACCUUGGAUCUGAAGAUCACUCUCUGUUAUAGUACAUGUACUACAAAUCUAACAGUGUCACACUCAGCCACAAAGAGGUUGUCUCUGAUGUCCACACAUAAACCUAAUGGACGAUCUAAAUCACAGUGAAUGUAACGGAGGAACUGUCCGUCCUGAUCUAGGAUGUGGAUACGGUUAUUGUAAUGGUCUGCUGUCAGGAUGUGACUCUGGCUGUCUGUAGUGAUGCCGAAUGGAUUAAAUGAUUGCUCGGUAUUAGAGGGAUGACCAGUGUAUCUAAAUCGGAGUUUUCCUGACUGAUUGACCACCACUACUGCACUAGCUGAGAAGUCAGCCACACAGAUAUCCAGGUUCCUAUUCUCACUGAUGUCACUAACAGAUGAGUAGAGAGGACGACCCUGAUCAUCAAACUGAAUGCUUUGUGUCUCUGUGGAGCCGGAGUAACGCACGACUUUGGAUUGUUCUCUAUCAUCUCUGUCCAUGGUAACCAGGAGAUUGUUAUCCGCGGUACAGCAGACAGAGCGAGGUCUCCACCCCUGUAGUGUGAUCACGAUUGAGUUGAGUGGAAUAAUGAACCUCCAGAUAUCUAUGUACAUUCACACGUGUAUGAUUAAACUUGUACUGCACUCACGCAUGCGAGCUUUUCCUAUA